ACAGAAAGGGGGCGGGGACAACGGCGUGGGAGCGCGGCUGAACUCGGGGGCGGUUGGCGCUGAGCUGCACAGGCAAACAAUCCCCAGCACACGUCUGGGGUGAGCACUGUCCUCCUGCAAUGCCACUGCCUGGAAAUGGAACCCAAAUACAGAGUAAUGUCUUUCAGAUUUCAGAUCACCGUGCGUUUCACACAGCAGCAGAGCAGACUCUGCCCUGACCAUUCAUACAGCUCCCUUUGAGUGCAGAACUUCUGUGGCAAAGCAUGGGAAGUGCUCCAUGCACUCAUAGGCAAAUCUCCCAGAGCCACACAAGUGGAAAAAUUCAGCCCUACACUGAGUUCCUAUGGACUUGAAGUCAUUGCACACACCUGCGAUUGUUUCCCUGUGCGUUGACACAACAAAUACAUCAUUCUUUACUAUGAACCAGAGAUAUCAAGCUGUCAGUGACUCACUCCAUCCUUACGUUCACUCCCAUGGACUGCCUGUUAUCUGAAUUAUUACAAUCUGAUUAAGCUUGAUUACCCUUUUUUACUGCGUAGUGAUGGCUGUUGCAGCAAGUCAGUUCCACAAACCCAUUCACCUGUCACUUCAAGAGGGCUGCCUUGACUAACAUGUAAACACACAGUAUGAGCAGAUCCAGAACAAAAAGGACAGUGAUUCACACCCUGGGGAUGCUGUGACGCUGUGUGAGGCGUCCUACACGGUCACCUUGUGAGCUGCAGCACCAUGGCUACAGAUAAAAGGGUCAAGGUACAGAGAUAAGAGCUUAAACUGAGACUGAGUGGUAAACAGAUCACCAUCAGCGUGGCUUUGGAUGCUGCGAUGUCUAUUACAGACAAUUAAGAGAGGAAGGAAUCCAAUGCCAUAAGCCAGCAGCUCCGCACCACAGAACUCCACAGCACAGACACACACACUGAAGGAUAUCAUCUCAGAAUGAUUUUGUACUGAAGGUAUCUACACAGCCGCAUUCAAAACAGCAAGAAAUGGUGCUGUAACUCAGAAGGGAAGGCUUGCUAUCCCUUGGCAAGGAUUUGGAUGCAAUAUGGGAUCUGGUUGAGUAGGAAGGCAUCACAAUAUUAAGCUAAAUUCCAUUCAGAAGCGAAACACUCCUUGAAAAGCAUAUUUAAUUGCUCUUUUCAAACUUUAAUUAUUCCUUAUGGAUCAACAUUCAGAAGAAAAAAAGAAGGGGGGACCCUAAGAACAGAACCUCCAAAGGCAAAAGGAACACUGUUGGGUCUGCAGUGCCACAGCACCAAACGUCACUCACGUAUUGUUCAGGAUGUGUUUCUCCUGGAAGUUCUUCAGUUCAUUACACACACAACAGGUGGCACACAACGCUGCAGUGCUGAUCAAUCGUGUUUAUAAGCACUCUAGCAUUUCACGUACACUUGGGCUAAGAAACAAAAGAUGCUGUGUAUGAGGAAAUGCAGAAAGAAGCAGCUUUAAUGACAGCCCUUCCAUUGGGCACCUGCAGAACAUCAGCUUCACUUCAAGAUCCUACACCACGUCAGACAAAAAGACUAAUUAGAUAUCCACACUUAAUUGUGCACACCAAGAGGUUGGACUGGUUUCCAAACCAGGCUGCAGUCCUCCUUCCAGAACAGCCUCAGACUCCAGAACUGAUUUGGUUUCUGAACCAGAGCUUGAAGUUAAAAGAACGGACAGCAACAGCCUCCCAGCCACCAGGAUUCCUUAGAUAAGUCCUUAUCUGUGCGUUCAUUAACCCUGUGCAAAAGGAAGCUCCUUAGCCAAGUGUUCGUAUAAAAAUAGGCAAGGUCUCUUUAAAUUUAGAAAUUUAUUUUGUUUAAUCCACAAGCUUUAUAUAGCUUUAGUUAAAAAAACAAAAACAAAAAAAAACAGUGAAAACAUGACAAUAUCCAAAGUUCAGGUUCCUCACACUUCCAAAGACCACAUCUCUGAAAGUGGCUCACACCAUUCAGAGGAACCCUAACGAGACAAGAUUUAUGAAUGGGGCAACAACAUCUCACAAACAGAAUUUAUGUAACUGAAGGAAUUGUUCUGGGACUGCUGAUCAUGGAAACUGCCCUUUAAAAAAAUAAAACAAAACAAAAAUACAAAUGAAAUUCCAGUGUUCCAAAUCAACAUGUUACAUCUAUAUAAACCCACAGUGUCCUGGUAAACAACAUGCUUUCAUUUAUGUACCACUCUAAAUUGCUAUUCUUGAUUUGCUUUAAUGGAGACUGUACAGGCAACAGUAGAAAGCAUUAAAAUAUACGUACUUCCUUGGUAAUUCUGCAGUGGUUUUACUUCUGGGCAGGCUUACAAACCACAAAGGUUAGUAGCAUAAUGUGAGUGGAUACAAAAGAA